CAGCCGCCGCGGUAAUACGUAGGGUCCGAGCGUUGUCCGGAAUUACUGGGCGUAAAGAGCUCGUAGGUGGUUUGUCGCGUUGUUCGUGAAAACUCACAGCUUAACUGUGGGCGUGCGGGCGAUACGGGCAGACUAGAGUACUGCAGGGGAGACUGGAAUUCCUGGUGUAGCGGUGGAAUGCGCAGAUAUCAGGAGGAACACCGGUGGCGAAGGCGGGUCUCUGGGCAGUAACUGACGCUGAGGAGCGAAAGCGUGGGGAGCGAACAGGAUUAGAUACCCCAGUAGUCCCUGUCUCUUAUAC
rnacentral:rRNA from 1 species